rnacentral:misc_RNA from 1 species
AACGCAACUUGCGCCUCCUAGAGGCAUGUCUGUUUGAGUAUCAUAUCAACCUGCAGUAAUAUGCGACUUGACUGACCCCAAAGGGUUGGUUUAAAACUUUGUCAAUGGGAGAGGGGGGACGAGGCGGUAAAAGCCUAAAGCUAGAGACGCAAGUCUUGUUUAGGCUUUCGCUCGCCUUACCAAACCAAGUCUUUUGGUCUCAAAUCAGGCAAGGUUACCCGCUGAACUUAA